rnacentral:misc_RNA from 1 species
CGCCCAAGCAGAAUUACCAUCAAACCCCUCUCCAUUAGAUUCGUAGAUCUACACCAAAAAAAAAAAAGAGGUAUUUACACCUCAACCUAGUGAUGGGGAGGGAAAACCCACUCUCCAAGCUAGGAAAAAGGCAUACGGGAGGCAUAUCUUCGGCAAGCUCCAAAGCAGUAGAAUCCGGGAGAACGAGAGAGAUUUAUCUCUCUAAAAUUAAAGAGAGCCUUUUUUUUAAUUUCUAUCAUUGGUGUUAAAACUGAAUA